UACGGAAGGCAGCAGUGGGGAAUAUUGCACAAUGGGCGCAAGCCUGAUGCAGCCAUGCCGCGUGUAUGAAAAAGGCCUUCGGGUUGUAAAGUACUUUCAGUCGUGAGGAAGGUGUUAAGGUUAAUAACCUUAGCAAUUGACGUUAGCGACAGAAGAAGCACCGGCUAACUCCGUGCCAGCAGCCGCGGUAAUACGGAGGGUGCGAGCGUUAAUCGGAAUUACUGGGCGUAAAGGGCACGCAGGCGGUUAAUAAGUUGGAUGUGAAAUCCCCGGGCUUAACCUGGGAAUGGCAUUCAAGACUGGUUAGCUAGAGUCUUGUAGAGGGGGUAGAAUUCCAUGUGUAGCGGUGAAAUGCGUAGAGAUGUGGAGGAAUACCGGUGGCGAAGGCGGCCCCUGGGACAAAGACUGACGCUCAUGUGCGAAAGCGUGGGGAGC
rnacentral:rRNA from 1 species